GCCCCUCCCCUACCUCUUUCCCGGAUGCCUCUCAGACGACCUAGGAUUGGGUAGGAUUCUUUGGAGCCCGCCUCUUCCAAGUUUCUAUUGGUUUGAGCGAUGCAAACAACGACGCCAUUUACCCACCAGUUCUAUGGAAACAGAAAGUUAUCCCUCAAUACUUUCUGGGAAUUGUAGUCCAGUCUUCUAGGCCAAUCGGUAAACUGACGGACAUUAGAACUACCAAGACCGCAAUGCCCACUUGCCUGCGUUCGACGAGAGAGGGGAGGGGAAGGAGGCGCGGCCAUGAGGCAGAGGGGAGGUGGCAUACGACGCCUGCGCAGUGUGAUAGGGAUGGCGUAUUUUCUUGCACUGAGUGCUGCGGCGUCGCUGGCCGCUGAGGAGGGCAGAGAUUUCUGUGUGAAAUAGUGGGAGGGCUCCAAGGAAGCCUCUUGAAGAGCCGCAGUCAGAACAAUAAAUUGAGAAGUCGAUGUGGGCACUGCUAGUCUCGUACCGGCGGCGGCUUCAAGUCUGAGAUCAUCGUGGAACCCUGCUUGUUGGGUGUCUCUGAGGGCGGCCAUGCUAGGCUCCUUCUGUAAGUACACCAUAGCAUCAGUAAUAGUGUCAGCCCUAGAGGCCUCCCCUUGAGCUGGAUCCCAUUUGGACCUGUCACUGUACCUCCUUUCCCUCAUGCUCUUCUCUAUUUAUGUCCCUGCAGUUCUUUAGACAAGAACAAUUCUGGGUCAGAGUUUUUGACUGUGGAGUGGCAACCCCAUCCCUCCACUUGAUGUCCUGUCUUUCUACUGAAGGUGGACUCUACAAGUUUCCUCUUCCCACUGUAGGGCUUUUCAUCUAAGGUCCUCCCUUUGAGUCCUGAGAGUCUCUCACCACCCAGGUCUCUGGUACAUUCUAGAGGGUCCUCCCCACUCCCCCUAUUACCUCCUGUAUUUGCCUGUUUCCAUUCUUUCUGCUGGCCUUCGGGGCUUCAGUCCUGUUUUCCCCACCCCCAACCCUCAAUGGCUCAUGCCAUUUGUAAUUAGCUUUCUGCCUCUGGUUUAUGAAUAAGAUGUACACCUUGUGCUACUGAUCCAACACUAUGCUUUCCUGCCUGCUUGUUUACACACUCCCCAGCAUGAUGGUCAUAGACUCAUCCUCUGAAAUUGUAAGCAAGCCUCCAAUUAAAUAUUUUGUUUAUGAGUUGCCUUAGUCAUAAUAUCAUGGGUUGUUUUUUGGUGGUGGUAGUUUUUUUGUUGGUGGAAUUGUUUGUUACUUUGUUUGAGACAGGGUCUCUCUACAUAGUACCAGCUGUGUUGGAACUCACCAUGCAGACCACACUAGCUACGAACUCGUAGAGAUUCACAUGCCUUUACAUGCUGGAAUUAAAAGCAUGUGCCACCACAUCCAACUGGUCAUGGUGUCUCUUUACAGCAAUAAAAGCAAUAACCGAGACAACCACACAUACAAAAUUAAAUAAAUGAAUACUUUUUAAAGUAUGCUUUUCACUGGACAUGAUGAUACACAUGUAAUCAUAGCACCUGAAGGCUAAGAAAGGAUUUUUCAUUCUAGGCCAGCCCAAACUGCAUAGGGAAAUUCUUACUCAAAGAAAAUAAAAAUAAAAAAUAAAAAAGUGUGCAUGUGUCUGUGUUUGAUCCUAAGGAGCAACCUGAACAAUAAAUACAUCACUUUGAUUCCUUGAUUUUAAUAGAGAGCUACUGGAGGAGAUGGGCUCAGUCAGUGAAGAAUCUAGGAAGCAUAAGGAGCCAACUUCAGAUCCCCCUGUAAAAGCCAAGUUGCACAACUCCUAAUCCCAGAACUAGACUAGGCCAGAACAAGCAUCUCCCAGGAAUUCAUUAGCCAGCCAGCUAAAUUAACAGGGCCAGGAUUCAAGAUUCAACUAUAAAAAUAUAAGGUGGCAAAUGAUUGAAGAAGAACCAAGGUUAUAUAGCCUCUGCAAACACACACAUGUACAUAUAAAAUUUUUUGUUUAUCACAGAUACUGUAUAUGUUUGUGAGUACCCACAUACCUCAAUGCUUGUGUGUGGUGGUCAGGAUAGUUUUCAGCUCUUAACUUCUCUCUCUCUCUUAAUUUUGUGUAUGGAGUCAGCAGAUGGCUCUAGUUACCUGGAUUUGCCACCAAGUCUGACAACCUGAGUUGUUCAAUCCAUGGGAUUCACACGAUGCAGGAGAACUGAGUCCCUGUUUGUAGAGCCUGUGAAGUUGACAACACUAACCAUCACAGAGUGAAUCCAUGAAAGGUUAUUAGAAGAGGGCUUGUGAUCCUACAGGACAAAAUGGUGAUCCCCAAAGAAGACACAACUCAUAACAUCUAAAGCUUGCCAGAGGUGUCAUAGUUACUAGAAAAACAGGGCCUCUGAGGAGAAAAGUGGACCCCAGUAUUGAAAGAAACAGAAGAUUCACCAGUAGAAGAGGCCCCUGCAAAAACCAGGAUUGAAGCUGGGCCUGAUGGCAUGCUCUGUAAUCCCAGUAUUUGGGAGUAGAGGCAGAAAGAUCAGGAAGGAAUUCAAAGGUCAGCUUUGAAAUUUAUAAAACAUGGAGAAAACUAAAGAGAAAGCUGAGAGGAUUCUUCUAGAGCCCUAUAGGUACUUACUUCAGUUACCAGGUAAACAGGUGAGAAGCAAACUUUCACAGGCAUUUAAUCACUGGCUGAAAGUUCCAGAAGACAAGCUACAGAUUAUCAUUGAAGUGACUGAAAUGUUGCAUAAUGCCAGUUUACUCAUUGAUGAUAUUGAAGACAGUUCAAAGCUCCGACGUGGUUUCCCAGUGGCUCACAGCAUCUAUGGUGUCCCAUCUGUCAUUAAUUCUGCCAAUUACGUCUACUUCCUUGGACUGGAAAAAGUCUUAACCCUUGAUCACCCGGAUGCGGUGAAGCUUUUCACACGCCAGCUUCUGGAACUUCAUCAGGGACAAGGCCUCGAUAUUUACUGGAGGGACACCUACACUUGUCCAACUGAAGAAGAAUAUAAAGCCAUGGUGUUGCAGAAGACAGGUGGUUUGUUUGGAUUAGCAGUAGGUCUUAUGCAGCUGUUCUCUGAUUACAAAGAAGAUCUAAAGCCACUGCUUGACACACUUGGGCUCUUUUUCCAGAUUAGAGAUGAUUAUGCCAAUCUACACUCCAAAGAAUACAGUGAAAACAAAAGUUUCUGUGAAGACUUGACAGAAGGGAAGUUCUCAUUCCCCACUAUCCAUGCCAUUUGGUCAAGGCCAGAAAGCACCCAGGUUUCACUCACUAUGCAGUUCUAGCUGGCCUAGAACUCAAGGGUCCAUCAGCUUGGCUUCUGCCUCUUUGAGAGCUAGGAUCAAAUGUGUGUCCUACCAUGCCUGGCAAAGACUCUAAGAGACCCAGGAAGCUGGAGAGAUGGCUCAGAGGUUAAGAACACUGGCUGCUCUUCCAGAGGACCCUGGUUCAGUUCCCAGCACCCACAUGGCAGUUCACAACUGUCUGUAACUUCAGUUCCAGAAGAUCUAAUACCAUCUCACAGACAUACAUGUAAGCAAAAUACAAAUACACAUUAAAAAAAAAUUAUCUGAAGAGACCCAGAACAUGAGUAGCUGAGUUCAUUUAAUAAAAUGACUUUAUUUGCUUAGAUUUGUGCUACAAUAAUGCUUUUCCUGCCUAAGAAAGUCUUGAGAUAUCCUCUUCGAGAAAUGUUGGAUUUUGCUGUGUCAAAGACAUACUUUUUGUUUGUUUGUUUUGUUUUGUUUUUUGAGACAGAGACAUACUUUUUAAACAAUAUAAAUUUUCUAAUUUAUGCAGCUUCAGAAAAACAUUAAGUUUUUAUAUCAAAUCUGCAAGAAUAAAGGUCAGUUGUAUUGCCAUAAUGUUUUUUUCUUUCCUUUGAUGUCUAAACUAUUGUUGACCUCACUAUUUUCCUUCAGCCUUUUCCUUCCUGGGCCAGCCAGUGCUGCUAGGGAAUGGAUUCCUGUCUGCUCUUGUAGCCACUGCUGCCUUGUUGAGCAACUCCUGUCCUGGGUAGCCUGUAUCAUUGGCUCUUCUUCCUUUCCUAGCAGAAAAGGAGAUUCCUCAACUAGCAAUGGAAUGUCCCUUAUUAUCUUUUUCUGUUCUCCACCUAUCAAAUGUGGAAUCUCCUACCUUUCUUUCUUCAAAUUUUUUACUUCAAAUCUGCCUUUAAGUAGUCAGCCUUUUAUUUCCAAAAAUGUAAACCAGAUGAGAUGGCACAUGCCUGUAGUAUUAGUUCUUAGGGGAAAUAGAGAUUAAAAGUUGAGGGUCCUGAUUGGCUACAUAGUGGGCUAGAACUAGCCUGGAUUUUGUUAGAAUUUGCCCUGCAGCCUUAGGCGAAAGGAGCUCUUGAGCUCUAGAGGCCUUGUAACAUCCCAGGCUGUAAUUCUCAGGCAUCCUAAAGCUCAUUUUAAGCUAUGUGAUAAGAAACAGGGGAAAGACACGUAUAUUUAUACAACUUUAAUCCCAGCACUCAAGUGGCAGAAGCCGGCAGAUCUCUUAUCAUCUGGUAUACAGAGAAAGUUCCAGACAGAGCAGCAUAGUGGACUGACUGUCUGUGUGUGUGUGUCUCUCUCUCUCAAAAAAAAAGCUUCAAAUACAAAAAAAAAAGGGCUCAAAAUAAUGAACCCUACAGUAGUAUGAGUUCAUGUAUAAUAGAGUUAGCAUUUUGCUUCCUCAACCCUAACACCCCACUUGGCUAAACACAAUCACUCUGCUUAUCUUAAUUCAUCUUUUUAUAUUUACAUUCAAUAUGUUGAGAAUGAGCUAUAAUGUGAAGGCAUUGUUUGACCAUGUACUACUUGGUUAAAAAAAAAUACAAAAAUAAAAUAAAAUCACUGAUAUAAAUUUCAAUGUUAAUUUGCUCAACUCCGCUCCGUACAGUAUUUCCUAACACUUAAUUGGCACUGACACAGAAGUGGCUAGUUGUUUGUCAUUCUUUUUUUUUUAUGUAUGUAUGUAUGUAUGUAUGUAUGUAUGUAUGUAUGUAUGUAUGUUGUUUGUUUGUUUAAUGUAGCCCUUGUUGGGCUAGAACCUGAUUUGUAGAUCUGAGCUCAACUCAGAGAUCUUUGUCAGAGUGCAGGGAUUAAACACAUGUGCCAUCACUCCCAGCAAAGGCUAUUCUAUGCAACACUACUUUAGAAGAAUCACCAACUUUGUAUUGUUUAUCACUGUACUUAAAAAGAAGGCUGUGUUUGAAGAAAUAAUCUAUGAAACAAGGUCGUUGAACCUCUUUUGGGUGAAGGUCUUAGUCACUGUUCUAUUGUUGUGAAGAGAUACCAUGGCCAAAGCAAUUCUUAUAAAUGAAAGCAUUUAAUUUGGGGAUCUGCUUACAGUUUCAGUCAGUCUGUUAUCAGCUAGUAGGAACAUAGUGUCACUCAUGGCCCUGGAGUAGUGGCUUAGAACUGUGUCCUGAUCUGUAGGCAGCAGAUUCGGUCUGGCAUGAGGUUCUAAAACCUCAAAGUCCACUCCAGUGACACACUUCCUCCAACAAGGCCACACCUCCAAAUUCUAAUUUUGUCAAAGAAUUGCACUCCCUGGUGACUAAGGAUUCAGAUAUAUGAGCCUAGAGGGUCAUUCUUAUUUAAACCACCACAGUGAGGUAGUUCAGUACUAAUGGUAAGCUGUUAGAUGGUGUGGAAAUUUUUUUGAAACUUGCCAGUUGCUUAAUAGAAAUUGUAAAUUGGGAAUAAACAUUUCAGCAGUGUUUUAAA